UACAGAGGUCCCGAGCGUUGUUCGGAUUCACUGGGCGUAAAGGGUGCGUAGGUGGUGGGGUAAGUCUCGUGUGAAAGCUCGCAGCUUAACUGCGAAAAGUCACGGGAUACUAUCCGGCUAGAGGCUUGGAGGGGGGACUGGAAUACUUGGUGUAGCAGUGAAAUGCGUAGAUAUCAAGUGGAACACCAGUGGCGAAGGCGAGUCCCUGGACAAGACCUGACACUGAGGCACGAAAGCCAGGGGAGCAAACAGG
rnacentral:rRNA from 1 species